GUCGAACGAGAAAGUGGAGCAAUCCAUGAGUAAAGUGGCGCACGGGUGAGUAACACGUGACUAACCUACCCUUGAGUGGGGAAUAACCUAGGGAAACCUGGGCUAAUACCGCAUAACACCUACGGGUCAAAGGAGCAAUUCGCUUAAGGAGGGGGUCGCGGCAGAUUAGCUAGUUGGCGGGGUAAUGGCCCACCAAGGCAGUGAUCUGUAUCCGGCCUGAGAGGGCGCACGGACACACUGGAACUGAAACACGGUCCAGACUCCUACGGGAGGCAGCAGUGGGGAAUUUUGCGCAAUGGGGGAAACCCUGACGCAGCAACGCCGCGUGGAGGAUGAAGUCCCUUGGGACGUAAACUCCUUUCGACCGGGAAGAUUAUGACGGUACCGGAAGAAGAAGCCCCGGCUAACUUCGUGCCAGCAGCCGCGGUAAUACGAGGGGGGCAAGCGUUGUUCGGAAUUAUUGGGCGUAAAGGGUGCGUAGGCGGUUCGGUAAGUCUUGCGUGAAAUCUUCGGGCUCAACUCGAAGUCUGCACGAGAAACUGCCGGGCUUGAGUGUGGGAGAGGUGAGUGGAAUUUCCGGUGUAGCGGUGAAAUGCGUAGAUAUCGGAAGGAACACCUGUGGCGAAAGCGGCUCACUGGACCACAACUGACGCUGAGGCACGAAAGCUAGGGGAGCAAACAGGAUUAGAUACCCUGGUAGUCCUAGCCCUAAACGAUGAUCGCUUGGUGUGAC
rnacentral:rRNA from 1 species